rnacentral:rRNA from 1 species
UACGUAGGCGGAAAAUUAAGUCAGUAGUGAAAUCCUGCAGCUUAACUGUAGAACUGUUAUUGAUACUGGUUUUCUUGAAUAUAGUUGAGGUAGGCGGAAUGUGUAAUGUAGCGGUGAAAUGCUUAGAUAUUACACAGAACACCGAUUGCGAAGGCAGCUUACUAAGCUAUGAUUGACGCUGAGGUACGAAAGCGUGGGGAGCGAACAGGAUUAGAUACCCUGGUGGUC